ACGAACGCUGGCGGCGUGCCUAAUACAUGCAAGUCGAGCGGAACGGAAAGAGCUUGCUCUUUCAGUUUAGCGGCGGACGGGUGAGUAACACGUGGGCAACCUGCCCUGCAGAUCGGGAUAACUCCGGGAAACCGGUGCUAAUACCGAAUAGUUUUUUGCCCCUCCUGGGGCGAAACGGAAAGACGGUUUCGGCUGUCACUGCAGGAUGGGCCCGCGGCGCAUUAGCUAGUUGGUGGGGUAAUGGCCCACCAAGGCGACGAUGCGUAGCCGACCUGAGAGGGUGAUCGGCCACACUGGGACUGAGACACGGCCCAGACUCCUACGGGAGGCAGCAGUAGGGAAUCUUCCGCAAUGGACGCAAGUCUGACGGAGCAACGCCGCGUGAGUGACGAAGGUUUUCGGAUCGUAAAACUCUGUUGUGAGGGAAGAACAAGCAUCAUUUAACUGAUGGUGCCUUGACGGUACCUCACCAGAAAGCCACGGCUAACUACGUGCC
rnacentral:rRNA from 1 species